rnacentral:rRNA from 1 species
GUAACGCGUGGGAAUCUACCGUACCCUACGGAAUAGCUCCGGGAAACUGGAAUUAAUACCGUAUACGCCCUUUGGGGGAAAGAUUUAUCGGGGUAUGAUGAGCCCGCGUUGGAUUAGCUAGUUGGUGGGGUAAAGGCCUACCAAGGCGACGAUCCAUAGCUGGUCUGAGAGGAUGAUCAGCCACAUUGGGACUGAGACACGGCCCAAACUCCUACGGGAGGCAGCAGUGGGGAAUAUUGGACAAUGGGCGCAAGCCUGAUCCAGCCAUGCCGCGUGAGUGAUGAAGGUCUUAGGAUUGUAAAGCUCUUUCACCGAUGAAGAUAAUGACGGUAGUCGGAGAAGAAGCCCCGGCUAACUUCGUGCCAGCAGCCGCGGUAAUACGAAGGGGGCUAGCGUUGUUCGGAAUUACUGGGCGUAAAGCGCACGUAGGCGGAUAAUUAAGUCAGGGGUGAAAUCCCGCAGCUCAACUGCGGAACUGCCUUUGAUACUG